UUUAAAAUAGUAUAUUAGUAUCAAUAUCCAACACUACGCAGCCAAUACAUGACACAGAUUCAAAAACAUGUUUUCUUUAUGAUUAACCAACAAUACAAUCAUACUGUCAAAAAAACCAACAAUACAAUGAGAUGUAAAUUGCAAUUGCAUAUGGAGAGCAAACAAAAUGCCAGAGGCACAUAUGCAUAAUCUAAGUGAAAUGUGUAUUAUCUCUACAUAUCCACUCACUUUACCAUUCCAUCAUAGGGAUUGAGCCACCAGCUGCCACUAUUUGCUGCUUAAGCUGCAAUUAGUAUCCACAAAAAAAAUAUAAAUUACAAAUCUAAAUCCUGAAAUAAAUAUAACAUUCUUCGGCCGAACUUUUUAAUCAAGUUACUUACCCUCAACAAUGUUUCAGACCAUGAAAUUAGCAAAUUCACGUCGAUUUCUCUAACAUCUAACCAGUUGAGCCUUGUUCAAGUAGCUUUGUCCUUCAAACUUUUGCACUCACUGUUAAUUCUUCAUGAAGCCAAAAUUAUGAAACAGGGGUGUAUUGUGUUGCAAGUUAGACAAGUGUUUGAAACANNNNNNNNNNNNNNNNNNNNNNNNNNNNNNNNNNNNNNNNNNNNNNNNNNNNNNNAACCCUUUCCGGCACCAACGGCUCUGGAGAUUAACUAGACAGGUAGAUAACAUGAAUGUUCAAUAAAUCAGAUUUACAAAAGAGUAAAAAGAUGUAAGACCUGCAAGAGAGUUGUUUUUCCCGCUUCCACUCUGUCCGAAAAUUAGACCUAAACUGUGGCAAUUGACAGAAAUGAGCUACCACACAAAUGAAAAAUCCUUUUCUCCUUUAUGACAUAUGUAAAACAUCCAACAUUUAUAUGUUAAACAGUUUAUCCAGAUGCUAGUUAAAGUGGUUUUAUGAGGGACUACAAGUACAAUACGUCUUUAUCUAGUUUAACCAGGAUAGAUACAAGGAGAUACAUGAUGCUAGUUUGACCAGGGACUACAAGGGGAUACAUUAGGUCCUUAUAUUUUAGGAUUGAUUCAAUAAAAUAGUAUACCUUUACACUGUUAUCCUUAAAUUGGUGAACAUCAGCAUCCAUUUUUUUGAAGUCAACAUUUUUUUGAUCCCUGCACAUGUAAAAUCAAUAGAACAUAAAAAAUCAUGCAUUUCUCCAUAUUCAAGUCAUAUAUCUUACUAACUAAACUGAAUUCAAUGCUUAUAUUUAGGGGAUUAAUAGAACUGGAUGCAAGUUACUUAUUUAUCAGAUUUGUAGUACAAUUACUAAUGUGCUACAAGCCUACAAUGACUUUUUUAUCCUAGAUCCUACACCAGAGUUAUCUACCCAAAAAUAUAAUGAAAAAAUUGCUCACAUCACAAGAAUGGCCAAGUUGGUGAUUUUCAAACAUGUAGUUGAGGUGACAAUUACCAUAUUGCCUAAAAUCACAAGACUUAUUACAUUAGUAAAAGUAGGAUAUAUAGUUAGAAUUAAUUAGUUACAUGGUGUGAUAGAUUAUACUAGAUACUAGAUGAGA
rnacentral:lncRNA from 1 species